CUAUGGAAGGGUGGUAUUUAUUAGACUGAAGCCAAUAUUCCUUGUGUUAUUGCGGUGAUUCAUAAUAACUGAUCGAAUCUCUUUUUGAGAUAAAUCAUUCAAGUUUCUGCCCUAUCAGCUUUCGAUGGUAGUGUAUUGGACUACCAUGGCAGUAACGGGUAACGAAGAAUUAGGGUUCGAUUUCGGAGAGGGAGCAUGAGAAACGGCUACCACAUCUAAGGAAGGCAGCAGGCGCGUAAAUUACCCAAUCCUGACUCAGGGAGGUAGUGGCAAGAAAUAGCAAACCGGGAACCUCAUGAUUUCACGGUAUUGCAAUGAGAACAAUUUAAAACCCUUAGCGAGAAUCAAGUGGAGGACAAGUCUGGUGCCAGCACCCGCGGUAAUUCCAGCUCCACCAGCGUAUAUUAAAGUUGUUGCAGUUAAAAAGCUCGUAGUUGAACCUCUGUCUGGGGCCAGUUUUGGCUUUGGUCAGGCUAGUUCUAGGCAUCCGCCUACAAGACUUAGAGGGCAUUCAGUUGUUCACUAGGAGGAGUAGGCAUUUUACUUUGAAAAAAUUAGAGUGUUUAAGGCAGGCAAUCGCCCGCAUAUAUUAGCAUGGAAUAAUAGAAUAGGACACUUUUCCAUUUCGUUGGUUAUUGGAAUCGUGUAAUGAUUAAUAGGGACAGUUGUGGGCAUUUGUAUUUAAUUGUCAGAGGUGAAAUUCUUGGAUUUAUUAAAGACAAACUAACGCGAAAGCAUUUGCCAAGGAUGUUUUCAUUAAUCAAGAACGAAAGUUAGGGGAUCAAAGACGAUCAGAUACCGUCCUAGUCUUAACUAUAAACUAUUCCGACUCAAUGUUUGACUGGCUUAUAUAACCAGUUGAGCGUUGUAUGAGAAAUCAAAGUCUUUAGGUUCUGGGGGGAGUGUGGUUGCAAAGCUGAAACUUAAAGGAAUUGACGGAAGAGCACAACCAGGAGUGGAUUCUGCGGCUUAAUUUGACUCAACACGGGGAAACUUACCAGGUUAAAACAAUAGUGGGAUUGACAGUUUGAGAGCGCUUUCUUGAUUGGUUGGGUGGUGGUGCAUGGCCGUUCUUAGUUGGUGGAGUGAUUUGUCUGCUUAAUUGCGUCAACGAACGAGACCUUAACCUGCUUACUAGACUGGCGAUCAUCAAUCGUUAGCUCUUCUUAGAGGGACUUUGGUUGUUUUAACUCCAAGGAAGUUUGAGGCAAUAACAGGUCUGUGAUGCCCUUAGAUAUCCUGGGCCGCACGCGUCAUACAAUGACUAGUUCAGAAAGUUUUCUCCUGACCCGAAAGGGGAUGGGUAAUCUUGAUAAUACUAGUCGUGUUAGGGAUCGAUCUUUGCAAUUAUAGAUCUUGAACGA
rnacentral:rRNA from 1 species